rnacentral:misc_RNA from 1 species
UAUUACUUUUUCAAAUAAAACAAGGACAAAAAUCAAAUCUAUUCAAUUCCUUUUGAGAGACAAAGGUAGAGUUGGGGAAAAUAAUAAUGAUGACCAUGAUCAUGAACAUCAGCUAUGGUGAAAUUUUCUCAAACCUCCAAACCGGCUGUGCACAGCAUUACACGGUGCAGGCACAAUGACAUGGAAGCUUUCAGACUUUUUCGCUUCAGGGAGCAAACUG